UGCAGUGCUACCUCCAGGCCCUGGGACAAAGGGGCUGGGACUAUGCAAUGCUUCUACUCUCUUCCAGUGAGAACCUGGCAGGGGCUUUAACGAGCAAGCAGCAGCGUUCGCUUCGUGGGCAACAGUUCAUGUUAAAGUAGAAGAGAAAAGAGGAGGAGCAGGGAGGCCUGCGCACAGGGAGGUGAGAAGCAUCUCAGAGCAGCCUGUAGGAACAGGGACCUUUGGCAGUGCCUGUCCAAUGCGAUGCUCUGGCCUACCUGGCUGACCAGUUCUGGUAUCCCCAGAGCUCUAUCAAUCUCCUCGAGGCCAUCGAAGUUCCGCAAGGCCAGAUACAGCUGGUCUAGAAGAGCACCCUCAUCGCUUGGUGACUCUGCUGCAGGAUGUGGACACAGCAGGUCAUCAGGGGAGCUGCCGAAGGGCUGCCUGUAAAGAGACAAACUUCACCAUGGGCUGGUAGAAAUGCCAGCUGACUUCUAGGGUCUCUUCAACAAACUCUUUCUCCAGCCAAGCACUGAACAGAAUGAAGACUUUUGAAAAUAUGCACUUGAAAAAUCCACUUUAUUUAGUGUUAAUAAAGGCCAGUUAAACCA